AGUGAACGCUGGCGGUAGGCCUAACACAUGCAAGUCGAACGGCAGCACAGUAAGAGCUUGCUCUUACGGGUGGCGAGUGGCGGACGGGUGAGGAAUACAUCGGAAUCUACUUUUUCGUGGGGGAUAACGUAGGGAAACUUACGCUAAUACCGCAUACCACCUACGGGUGAAAGCAGGGGAUCUUCGUACCUUGCCCGCACGCAUGAACGGAUGUCGGUUUUGUUAGUUGGCGGGGUAAAGGCCCACCAAGCCGACGAUCCUUAGCUGGUCUGAGAGGAUGAUCAGCCAAACGGGAACUGAGACACGGUCCAGACUCCUACGGGAGGCAGCAGUGGGGAAUAUUGGACAUGGGGGGCAAUCCUGAUCCAGCAAGACCGCGGGGGGGAAGAAGGCCUUCGGGUGUUAAAGCCCGUUUGUUGGGAAAGAAAAGCGGCAGGUUAAAACCCCGCUGUUCUGACGGUACCCAAAGAGUAAGAACCGGCUAACUUCGUG
rnacentral:rRNA from 1 species